rnacentral:tRNA from 1 species
GAGAUAAAUUUGUUUAAUAAGUUUAUUUUGAAAAUAAAUUUUAGAAGUUAUAAAGAAUUUCUUAUCUUU